rnacentral:rRNA from 1 species
AUUGAACGCUGGCGGCAGGCCUAACACAUGCAAGUCGAACGGCAGCGGGGGAUAGCUUGCUAUCCUGCCGGCGAGUGGCGGACGGGUGAGUAAUGCAUGGGGAGCUGCCCAGUCGAGGGGGAUAACAACUGGAAACGGUUGCUAAUACCGCAUACGCCCUAAGGGGGAAAGGUGGGGAACUUCGGUCCUACCGCGAUUGGAUGCGCCCAUGUGGGAUAAGCUAGUUGGUGGGGUAACGGGUCACCAAGGCGACGAUCUCUAGCUGGUCUGAGAGGAUGACCAGCCACACUGGAACUGAGACACGGUCCAGACUCCUACGGGAGGCAGCAGUGGGGAAUAUUGCACAAUGGGGGAAACCCUGAUGCAGCCAUGCCGCGUGUGUGAAGAAGGCCUUCGGGUUGUAAAGCACUUUCAGUCAGGAGGAAGGGGUGAUGGCUAAUAUCCAUCAUCAUUGACGUUACUGACAGAAGAAGCACCGGCUAACUCCGUGCCAGCCGCCGCCGUAA